UACGUAGGGGGCAAGCGUUGUCCGGAAUCACUGGGCGUAAAGCGCGCGCAGGCGGUCAUCUACGUCUGGGGUGAAAGCCCGGAGCUCAACUCCGGGAUUGCCUUGGAUACGGGAUGACUUGAGGAUCGGAGAGGCAAGGGGAAUUCCACGUGUAGCGGUGAAAUGCGUAGAGAUGUGGAGGAACACCUGUGGCGAAGGCGCCUUGCUGGCCGAUUUCUGACGCUGAGGCGCGAAAGCUAGGGGAGCAAACAGG
rnacentral:rRNA from 1 species